CUUUAGUAAUUGCGAAUGAACAAGGAUAUGCUUAGCUUGACAAAUGGAGCUAUUGGCUUUGAAUUGUAUUGUGGAAAUGUAUUACCAACAGAGGUGCAGGUGCCAGCCUAUUGAAAUAAAGCGUCAAUGAGGGUGAGAAUCCUGUUUGUCAUGUGCAGCCCUUUGUGCACGGUGUAUAUUUGCUGAGUCACACUCCUUGGCAUUGGAAUGCAAAGUGGGUGGUAAGUUUCAUGUAAAGGUAAACAUGCAAUUGAGACUGAUAGCACACAAGUACCAUGAGGGAAAUAUGAAAAGGACUUUGAAAAGAGAAUUAAAUGAGUUUGUAUUUGCUGAACACAAAGUAAACAGACUUGAUUUGCUUGGUGGGAGUGUUGCACUUGCUUGACAAGAGCUUUGGGCUGUGGGUGUAAUGAUUCUUUCUUUGCAUGCCAGUUUCUAUUUGUACAUCUGAUUACCUUUGCACAUGAAUGAUAAGUCUCCUGUGGGGGGUGGAUUGCAUGUGCAUGUAAUGAUUUGUGUUUUGAUAAAUGUGUCUGGUGUAUGUGUGUGUUCCUGUGCUUGGGGAUGCUUCCUUCCUUGGACUUACAAGCCCUGACACACACAUGCUGGCAAAAUGCUUCUGCUUGACCCGUCUUGAAACACGGACCAAGGAGUCUAACAGAUGUGCAAAGUUUGAAGGUGGUAUACCUUUGUGUGCAAUGAAAGUGUCAGCUGGGAUAUGUGCACCAGCACCCAAUUAAUUAGCGGACAGAGGUUUGAGUUGGAGCAUAUCUAUUAGGACCCGAAAGAUGGUGAACUAUGCCUGAACAGAAUGAAUUCAGAGGAAACUCUGAUGGAGGUUCGUAUCGAUACUGACGUGCAAAUCGUUCGUCAUAUUUGGGUAUAGGGGCGAAAGACUAAUCGAACCAUCUAGUAGCUGGUUCCCUCCGAAGUUUCCCUCAGGAUAGCUGGAGUUGCUCAGUUUUAUCAGGUAAAGCGAAUGAUUAGAGGAAUUGGGGACAGGUUUGUCUUUGACCUAUUCUCAAACUUUAAAUGGGUAAUAUGUAGUGGUUGCUGUAUGGAACUUCUAAGAUAAAUGGCAAUAUUGGGU
rnacentral:rRNA from 1 species